rnacentral:rRNA from 1 species
UGGGGAAUUUUGGACAAUGGGCGAAAGCCUGAUCCAGCAAUGCCGCGUGUGUGAAGAAGGCCUUCGGGUUGUAAAGCACUUUUGUCCGGAAAGAAAUCCUUGGCCCUAAUACAGUCGGGGGAUGACGGUACCGGAAGAAUAAGCACCGGCUAACUACGUGCCAGCAGCCGCGGUAAUACGUAGGGUGCAAGCGUUAAUCGGAAUUACUGGGCGUAAAGCGUGCGCAGGCGGUUUGCUAAGACCGAUGUGAAAUCCCCGGGCUCAACCUGGGAACUGCAUUGGUGACUGGCAGGCUAGAGUAUGGCAGAGGGGGGUAGAAUUCCACGUGUAGCAGUGAAAUGCGUAGAGAUGUGGAGGAAUACCGAUGGCGAAGGCAGCCCCCUGGGCCAAUACUGACGCUCAUGCACGAAAGCGUGGGGAGCAAACAGGAUUAGAUACCCUGGUAGUCCACGCCCUAAACGAUGUCAACUAGUUGUUGGGGAUUCAUUUCCUUAGUAACGUAGCUAACGCGUGAAGUUGACCGCCUGGGGAGUACGGUCGCAAGAUUAAAACUCAAAGGAAUUGACGGGGUCAUAGCUGUUUCCU